AAUAUUUCACAAUGGGGGAAACCCUGAUGCAGCGAUGCCGCGUGAGUGAAGAAGGCCUUCGGGUCGUAAAGCUCUUUCCUACGGGAAGAAACGGACGGUACCUUUGGAGGAAGCCCCGGCAAACUACGUCCCAGCAGCCGCGGUCAAACGUAGGGGGCGAGCGUUAUCCGGAAUUAUUGGGCGUAAAGGGUGCGUAGGCGGCUUGUUAAGACAGAUGUGAAAGGCUACGGCUUAACCGUAGUUAGCAUUUGAAACUAAAAGGCUUGAGUGCAGGAGAGGAGAGUAGAAUUCCUAGUGUAGCGGUGAAAUGCGUAGAUAUUAGGAGGAACACCAGUGGCGAAGGCGACUCUCUGGACUGCAACUGACGCUGAGGCACGAAAGCGUGGGGAGCGAAC
rnacentral:rRNA from 1 species